UCCGUUCUCUCAAGGUCGCCUUAACAAGCUUCCAGGAGCAAAGUGUCUGAAGGGGAGAGAGAAAACAAGCGCAGGCCGGGAAUGUGCAAGCAGAUUAGCAGCAUCCGUGCGACAAAGACAGAUAGGAGCCUGGACCGGACUUCAGCACUGUUUCUGCUUAUUGGUGUUAAGUGUAUGAUCCCAGAAUGGAUGACCUGGGUGAUUUCCUGAGACAAAGGAAGAUUCCUGAGGAAACUAUCGAGACCAAGUUAAAAGAGAAGAUUGAUACCAACGUAAUCCAGCUGAUGACAGAGUUAUUUGCCAUCAUAUGGUGACCGCCUAGCCCUGUUAGGAUAUUGUAAAAGAAGGGAAAAUGGCACCCCAAACAGUCGCAAAUCAAAACUGUUUGAGCGCCUGAAAUCAAAACUGGGUAAAAGAAGAACUGCUGAUGAAGAUGGCCGCAGUACGGAACAAGAAGAGAAAUCUGAUACAACCGUAAAGAAGAACGCUCUGAAGUCAAAGAGAAAAAUAGAAAUAGGCUGGAUGGCUUAUAAAGAAGAAAAACAGGCUUUUAAACAAGUAAGAGCAAAAAGGGGUGGUGGAACAAGGAGGGUUGAUGUAUCAAAGGUUGCUAAAAAAAGAGGUAAUCCAAAUGGCAGCUGCUCUAUUCUUUCCAAAUGGAAGAAAUAGAGAAGGGGCCCUAGCAGAUUAUGAGGUAGAUCUCAAGGAUUAUCAAGAAGCAGUUGAUGACAAAAUCACAGUUGGGUAAUUGUAUAAUGAUACAAAACUACCUAUUAUUAGGUUUUAUCUAACCACAUGUAAAAAGAAGGAUAACCAGUCAAACAGUCAAGAUGAAGCUUUGUCUUCACCAUUUUUUCAAGAUCAAGACUUUUUUCUGAGUCAGCCUUCCUCUUCUGCUUUAAGUGUUGCAACAACCAGUCAAUCUACAAUACCCAAAACAGUAACUCCUGACUUGAUAUUUGCUGGAAGCAUCACAAAUCAUGAAAAUAUUAACUUUUCACCUAAUUCCACAGAGCUUAGGGAGGAGGUUUUGGAUAGCAGUAACAAAAAGCUGUCAACAAAAUAUCCAUCAGCUUUCAGCUGGUCAAAAUGGUCCAUCCAAAACUGGGCACAUUCACUUCUUAAGGUGCACCACCAUCAUUAUAUCCUCUGAUUUCCAGUACAUGGACCAAGGAUAACACAAUCAAAACCAUUUUCCAUCAGAAGGACAUCCAAAAGUACCCCAGCACAUAUGUCAGGAAUGCAGAUUUGCAGCAUCUGUCCUUGUUUCUAAGAUUCUGCACAGGUUCAGACCUUUUCCUGGGUAAGAUAAUUCUUCUUGAUUUCACCAAGCCAAGAUUCAAGGGUUUCUCAGAAGACCUGUGGCUCACACAUGUAUCUGUGUCCGUGAGCUGUCAGUCUAUUAUGACAGCUAUCCAGAUUUCUGUGCUGAAAGUUUUGGAGUCUAAUGUAUGGGUCAUGGACAUCAUUUAAAGUUGGUAUCAUCACAGUUGUGGAAAUCCAAAAGGGCAAAAAAAAUUAAGGUGGCUAUUCAAAGUAACAAAUUGUCCAUCAACAUCAAAACAGACGUUUUGGACGGGGGUCCACAUUUUCUUGUUAUACUUUCAGAUUUUCGGGAUAAGAUUUGAUCUGGGUGACGUUACACCCCCAAACAUUCUUCAGAUUUAACAGAAAAUGGAUCAUAUUUUUGUGCUAGGUGAAGCCUGGUAUGUGCAGCAAAACGUUUCAACAAGGCUUUGUUCUCAAACAAAAAUAGUAUCAAUGAUUUAUAAUCUGUCAUGUUUUUGCUGCAGAAAUUG